UGGGUUUUGGCUAGGGUUUUGCUAUGGUAAUCGAAUUGAGAAAUUGGAGUUCAAAAAGGAAUCUGAGAAGGGGAUUUGAACCGAGAGAAGUUUUGGCUCGAAUAUGAGAAGUUACUGGUACUAUAAAAGAUAAAUCUGAGAUAGAGAAGUUGGUGUUGUUGUACGUCAGAAUUAGGGUUGGAUUGAAGGUUAGAUCGAGGAUUGGAGACAAAAUUGUUGCAGUGAAGAAAGUCGAUUGAAUUGAAAUGAGUUUGAUUGAUUCAUGGCUGUGAACGAGUAAGUUUUGCAGCGGAUUGGUUUCGAAGCUCAAUGGAAGAAGAAGAAGAGAAAUGAGGUAUUGUUGUUCCCAUGGAUUAAUGGGUUUCUGGUUGAAUCUGCAAUGACAAAGACGAUAAUAAAUUGAAGCGAUUUCUGCUGAUAGUGAGAUUGUGAAGCAGAUGCUGGUGGUGCUGCAAUUCAGAAGAGAUGAACGAGAUAUUGAAUCUGAUAUUGUUAAUGUGUUGGUGGUUGAAAUGGGAUCUGUUGCUGGUAGAUUUGAGAGAUGGAUUUCGAAUUGGAUUUCUAAAAUUCCCUCUCAUUUCCGUAGAGAGGCGUUCAACCUCCAUUGAUGAAUCAACACCAUCCCUGCUGAACCAAUGCUCCCCAACCAGGUGGAUAUAUGUAUGGGUAUCGAAUUAUUAUCAAUGCUUAGUGUCUGAACAUUUGACUCCACAUCAAUGGAUUUCGAAUUGGUGGAUUUGACAGAAUAGGCAGAUGAAGUUGUUGCCGUUCAAAUUGAGGAUGCAUGUUAAACUGGGUAAGAAAUUAUAGAUGGGUUUGUGAUGAUGUGAACCAGAGAAGAUGAGUGUGAUGUUGUUGAGAAAAUGGGUUGUCAAAUUGAGUACCAGAAGUUGAGUUUGGAUGAUGAUCGUUGUUAUAAAAAUAGGGAAAGAGAAGCACAAAUUACUGAUGUGCAAUACAG